UUUUCAUUUACAUGUAAACUGUCACUUUUGUGUAAAUUAUUUUUGAAAUUAAAAUAGUUUUUUUUUAUAAUUGUGAUAUAAAAUAUUUAAUUUUCGUUUAUAAAUAAUAAAUUCGAAAGAUAAAUGUAAAAUAAUAUUUAUAGAAAAGAAAAUGAUCAUUUGAUUUGAUGUGACAUGUGAAUUUCUCGUUCGUGUUCUCGUCACUGUGUCUCGCACGUGGUUUUUGAUGUUUUAAAUAUAUAAUUUCUUUUUUGCAUAGUUUUAUUACAAUUUAUAAUGUUUAUUGAAGAGAAUCAAGAGGAAAAUGAAGAAGUAUUACCAAUUGAAGAUGAUAAAGUUAAAAAGAAACGAGGUUUAAUUUACUUGUCAUCAAUUCCAAAAUUCAUGAAUGUCACCAAAGUUCGUGAAAUAUUUUCCGAAUAUGGAGAAAUAGGACGAGUUUAUUUACAAUUAGCUGAUCAUGAACUAGGAGAUAAAUCAGGGAAAAAGCGUAAAAGAAAAAAACCAACAAUGCAUUUUACAGAAGGCUGGGUUGAAUUUGAAAGUAAAAGAGUAGCAAAACAUGUUGCAACAACUUUAAACAAUACAAUGAUUUCAACAAAAAGAAAGAGUAAAUUCUGCGAUAUAAUGUGGAAUAUAAAAUAUUUAUCAGGGUUCAAGUGGAUUCAUUUAAGUGAAAGAUUGGCCUACGAAAGAGCAGUUCGUAAACAGAAAAAACUCGCUGAAAUUGCUCAGGCAAAACGUGAAUCAAAUUUCUUCUCUUAUAAUGUCGAUAGAAGUGAAAAAUUGAAAAAGAAGAAAAUAAAGGGAGAUGAAUCAACAAGCUUUACAUUAAAUGAAAUCACUCAAAGAGAUACAGAUAUGGAAAUUAGGAAAAAGAAGAAAAAAAUUGACGACGACAGAUCAGGAGUCCUUAAGAAAUUAUUUAGUUAAUAUUAUUGUUUUUAAAGUGAAAAUGCUAGAAAUUAUUAUCCAAAUAUACGAAUUUCUUUUUAAAUUUUAUAUUCAAUAAAAAAAAAAAAAAACAAAAGAAAUCGCUAACGGAGAAAAGGAAAAAAAUCUUUGCAAAAAAAAACGUCAAAAUUCUUGUUUUUAGUUUGAAAAAUUUAAAUAGCUUCUCCCACCAUUUGGAAAAACUAAAGCUCAGUACAUACGGCUGCAUACGGAAUUGUAAAAUGACAGUGACAUAAUUUGUGCAUUGUGCAAUUGUACACUCGAAAAGUCAUUAUUAUUUGGUAUUUGUUGGUGUGUGCUUGUGCGUUGCUCUUGAGAUAGAAUCUCUUUGUUUUUUUUUGUCUCUUAUCCAAGUAAAUGACAAAAUCUGAAAAAAUGGAUAUCAAAAAAUUAAAAGAAUUCAUGGAAUUAGUAGGAAAAUUGAAG